GAGGGUAUAGCUCAGUAGUAGAGUGCAUGCUUAGCAUGCACGAGAGGUCCUGGCUUCAAUCCCCAGUACCUCCA
rnacentral:tRNA from 1 species